GGAUUCCCCUAGUAACUGCGAGUGAAGCGGGAAAAGCUCAAAUUUAAAAUCUGGCAGUCUUUGGCUGUCCGAGUUGUAAUCUAGAGAAGUGUUAUCCGCGCUGGACCGUGUACAAGUCUCCUGGAAUGGAGCGUCAUAGAGGGUGAGAAUCCCGUCUUUGACACGGACUGCCAGGGCUUUUGUGAUGCGCUCUCAAAGAGUCGAGUUGUUUGGGAAUGCAGCUCAAAAUGGGUGGUAAAUUCCAUCUAAAGCUAAAUAUUGGCGAGAGACCGAUAGCGAACAAGUACCGUGAGGGAAAGAUGAAAAGAACUUUGGAAAGAGAGUUAAACAGUACGUGAAAUUGCUGAAAGGGAAACGCUUGAAGUCAGUCGCGUUGUCCAGGGAUCAACUCUUGCUUUUGCUUGGUGUACUUUCUGGUUAAUGGGUCAGCAUCAAUUUUGACUAUUGGAAAAAGAUUAGGGGAAUGUGGCAUCUUUGGAUGUGUUAUAGCCCUUGGUUGCAUACAUUAGUUGGGAUUGAGGAACUCAGCACGCCGCAAGGCCGAGUUUUUAACUACGUACGUGCUUAGGAUGCUGGCAUAAUGGCUUUAAUCGACCCGUCUUGAAACACGGACCAAGGAGUCUAACAUACCUGCGAGUGUUUGGGUGGAAAACCCGAGCGCGCAAUGAAAGUGAAAGUUGAGAUCCCUGUCGUGGGGAGCAUCGACGCCCGGACCUGACCUUUUGUGACGGUUCCGCGGUAGAGCAUGUAUGUUGGGACCCGAAAGAUGGUGAACUAUGCCUGAAUAGGGUGAAGCCAGAGGAAACUCUGGUGGAGGCUCGUAGCGAUUCUGACGUGCAAAUCGAUCGUCAAAUUUGGGUAUAGGGGCGAAAGACUA
rnacentral:rRNA from 1 species